GCAGUCGCCGCGGGAAUACGGAGGGUGCAAGCGUUAAUCGGAAUUACUGGGCGUAAAGCGCACGCAGGCGGUCUGUCAAGUCAGAUGUGAAAUCCCCGGGCUUAACCUGGGAACUGCAUUUGAAACUGGCAGGCUAGAGUCUUGUAGAGGGGGGUAGAAUUCCAGGUGUAGCGGUGAAAUGCGUAGAGAUCUGGAGGAAUACCGGUGGCGAAGGCGGCCCCCUGGACAAAGACUGACGCUCAGGUGCGAAAGCGUGGGGAGCAGACAGGAUUAGAUACCCCGGUAGUCCCUGUCUCUUAUAC
rnacentral:rRNA from 1 species